AGCAGCUGGCGCCUGAGCUGUGAGAAGGACCAGGUUCAGCUUUACACCCUGGAGCAGAAGUCCAUGCUGAGUUUCAAGAUUGAAUGUGAGGUGGACGUUCCUGCUCACAGAGCCUUUGAUUUACUCGCCGAGCUGAGCAACAGGCCGAGCUGGGACUCGCAUUACAAGAAGUGCGAGCUGAUUCAGCUGGUCGACAACGAUGACUUCAUAUAUCGUGUGGUGACUC